UCGAGAAUCUUCCGCAAUGCGCGAAAGCGUGACGGAGCAAUGCCGCGUGUCGGAUGAAGGCCUUCGGGUUGUAAACGACUGUCACUCGGGACGAAAAAAUGACGGUACCGAGGGAGGAAGCCACGGCUAACUACGUGCCAGCAGCCGCGGUAAUACGUAGGUGGCGAGCGUUGUUCGGAAUUAUUGGGCGUAAAGGGUCUGUAGGAGGUUCGUUAAAUUUGGAGUGAAAUCCCGGAGCUCAACUCCGGAACUGCUUUGAAGACUGGCGAACUAGAGUGCCAUAGAGGUAAGCGGAAUUCCAGGUGUAGCGGUGGAAUGCGUAGAUAUCUGGAAGAACACCAAAAGCGAAGGCAGCUUACUGGCUGGUAACUGACUCUGAGAGACGAAAGCGUGGGGAGCAAGCA
rnacentral:rRNA from 1 species